rnacentral:rRNA from 1 species
GAUUUAACGAAUUGUAAAAUUAAAAAUUCAGUGAUGUUUAAUUAACUUUAUCGGUGGCACAGACCAUACGGAGGCCCCGACUGUUUACAUAAAAACACAACACAGUGCAAUCAUUAAUAUGGUAGUAUACUGUGUGAAAUUUGCCCAAUGCCAUUAAUAUAAGAGAAGUUAUGGUCUUAAAAACUGUGACUAAUCGAAAAUCUGGUUAAUAGCGGUCUUAACUAUGAGGAUCCUAAGGUAGCAAAAUCAGUUGGCCAUUAAAUGUGGUCCGGUAUCAAUAAUGUAACGAUGGUCUCACUGUCUCUACAACUUGCUCAGUGAAAUUGAAUUACGCGUGCAGAUGCGCGUUGCCUUCAGGGGGACGGGAAGACCCUAUGCAGCUUUCACUGG